CAUGGAGGGUGAGAAUCCCGUCCGGUUGAUCAUUUGCGUUUUACGAUACGCUUUCUAAGAGUCAAGUUGUUUGGGAUUGCAGCUUAAAAUGGGAGGUAAAUUUCUCCUAAGGCUAAAUAACGGCGAGAGACCGAUAGCGAACAAGUACCGUGAGGGAAAGAUGAAAAGAACUUUGAAAAGAGAGUUAAACAGUACGUGAAAUUGUUGAAAGGGAAACGAUUGAAGCCAGUCGUACCUUCGGGUAAUCAGCCUUUCGGGUGCGAUUCUGUGGAGUUUGAGGAGCUUAACACCUUCAUGCUUUGCAUAUUCGUGCUCUUGGGUGUACUUGCUCGUAUGGUUGGUUAACAUCAAUUUUGGUGGUCAUAAAAUGACUGGAGGAAUGUAGCUUCGAUCUCGUAUUGAAGUGUUAUAGCCUUCGGUAGAUGUGAUGAUCGAGAUUGAGGAUUGCAACGGAUACCCUUCGGGGCUACCUGUCUGAUCUCUGAUCGUUGCUCUGGUGCCGAAAGCUUGCUUACGGUUAUCAAAGUCGAUGGUCAAUAGGUUAGAAUGGGUUAAAUUCGUUAAGGAUGUUGACGUAAUGG
rnacentral:rRNA from 1 species